UACGUGGAGGGGCAAGCGUUGUCCGGAAUUAUUGGGCGUAAAGAGCGUGUAGGCGGUCCGGUAAGUCAGCUGUGAAAGUCAAGGGCUCAACCCUUGAAAGCCGGUUGAUACUGUCGGGCUAGAGUCCGGAAGAGGCGAGUGGAAUUCCCGGUGUAGCGGUGAAAUGCGCAGAUAUCGGGAGGAACACCAAUGGCGAAGGCAGCUCGCUGGGACGGUACUGACGCUGAGACGCGAAAGCGUGGGGAGCAAACAGG
rnacentral:rRNA from 1 species